rnacentral:rRNA from 1 species
GAAGCCGGAGCGCCAGCUUCGGUGGAGGCGCCGUUGGGAUACCACCCUGAUCGUAUCGGAGUUCUAACCUGGGACCGUGAAGCCGGUUCGGGGACAGUGUCAGGCGGGCAGUUUGACUGGGGCGGUCUCCUCCUAAAGAGUAACGGAGGCGCCCCAAGGUUCCCUCAGAAUGGUUGGAAAUCAUUCGAAGAGUGCAAAGGCAGAAGGGAGCUUGACUGCGAGACCUACAAGUCGAGCAGGGACGAAAGUCGGGCUUAGUGAUCCGGUGGUACCGCAUGGAAGGGCCAUCGCUCAACGGAUAAAAGCUACCCUGGGGAUAACAGGCUUAUCUCCCCCAAGAGUCCACAUCGACGGGGAGGUUUGGCACCUCGAUGUCGGCUCAUCGCAUCCUGGGGCUGAAGUAGGUCCCAAGGGUUGGGCUGUUCGCCCAUUAAAGCGGUACGCGAGCUGGGUUCAGAACGUCGUGAGACAGUUCGGUCCCUAUCUGUCGCGGGCGCAGGAAAUUUGAGAGGAGCUGUCCUUAGUACGAGAGGACCGGGAUGGACGUACCGCUGGUGUACCAGUUGUCUCGCCAGAGGCAUAGCUGGGUAGCCAAGUACGGAAGGGAUAAGCGCUGAAAGCAUCUAAGCGUGAAGCCCCCCUCAAGAUGAGAUUUCCCACAUUGGUAAGACCCCUUGAAGACGACGAGGUAGAUAGGUUGGAGGUGGAAGUGCAGCAAUGCAUGGAGCUGACCAAUACUAAUCGGUCGAGGGCUUAUCCUA